rnacentral:rRNA from 1 species
UACUCCUACGGGAGGCAGCAGUGGGGAAUAUUGGACAAUGGGGGCAACCCUGAUCCAGCAAUUCUGUGUGCACGAAGAAGGUUUUCGGAUUGUAAAGUGCUUUCAGCAGGGAAGAAGGAAGUGACGGUACCUGCAGAAGAAGCGACGGCUAAAUACGUGCCAGCAGCCGCGGUAAUACGUAUGUCGCGAGCGUUAUCCGGAAUUAUUGGGCAUAAAGGGCAUCUAGGCGGCCUGACAAGUCAGGGGUGAAAACCUGCGGCUCAACCGCAGGCCUGCCUUUGAAACUGUGAGGCUGGAGUACCGGAGAGGUGGACGGAACUGCACGAGUAGAGGUGAAAUUCGUAGAUAUGUGCAGGAAUGCCGAUGAUGAAGAUAGUUCACUGGACGGUAACUGACGCUGAAGUGCGAAAGCCGGGGGAGCAAACAGGAUUAGAUACCCUGGUAGUCCCGGCUGUAAACGAUGAUUACUGGGUGUGGGCAGGAAGACUGUCUGUGCCGAAGCGAAUGCGAUAAGUAAUCCGCCUGGGGAGUACGGCCGCAAGGCUGAAACUCAAAGGAAUUGACGGA